GGUAUUUCUGUCCCCAGGGCUCAGCUCUUCCAACUGCUUGUCCAGCAGGAUCCUACAACCCUUCACUGAGCCAAACCAGCUGCCUGCCCUGUCCUGAAGGGUUCUUCUGCCCUAAGAAUUCCUCUUCCAUUCUGGAGAAUGAGUGUCCCCCUGGCCACUACUGCCCUGCAGGCACUGCCUCUGCAGCUCAGUUCCCGUGUCCUAAAGGGACUUACAACCCCUGGUCUGGCAGCAGCCUGAGGUCCCACUGCAGCCCCUGUGAGCCAGGUGAGGCUCAGGAGCCUCAGAGUGUGUUUUAUUCCCUGAAAUGUCUCCUCUGGUGCAAAGCAGGUCGGGGGAAACACUGCUGGGAGGUGCUUUUCACAAGAGUUUUGUGUCUCCCUGAUUUCCCACUCCCAGCCCCCUUCUUCCCCAUUCCAGCCCUGUUUUUUCCCCAUUUUUUCCCAGUUUUUCACCUCUCCCAGCCCCUUUUUAUCCCCAUUUUUCCCAAUCCCAUCCCAUUCCAGCCCCAUUUUCCCAAAUUUCCCCCACUCAGACCCAAUUUCCCCACAUUUUCCUCCUCCCAGCCCCUUUCUCUCCCAUCUCCCCAAUCCCAUCCCCAUUUCCAUCAUUUAUCCCUGUUUUACCCCAUUUUUCCCAGUUUUUUAACUCCUCCCAGCCCCUUUUUAUCCCAUUUAUCCUCAUCCCAUCCCAUUUCUCCCCAUUCCAGCCCCAUUUGCUCAAUUUUUCCCCCACUCUCACCCAUUUUUUCCCACACUUCCCCUCACCCAGACCCUUUUUCUCCCAUUUAUCCCAAUCCCAUCCCAUUUUCCCCCAUUCCAACUCCGUUUUUCCCAUCCCAGCCCGGUGCUGAUGGCCUGGUUUGCUCUCUCAGGGCACUUCUGUGCACUCCCUGGGCAGUCCCAGGUGACAGGACCCUGCCUGGCCGGGUUUUACUGCACGGGAGGAGCUGCCAGUCCAUCCCCCAGGGAUGCUGAGGUGGGGAAUGUGUGUCCCCAGGGAUUCUACUGCCCUCUGGGCUCUGCCUCCCCCCUGCCCUGCCCUCCUGGCCAGUACAGCAGCUCAACUGGGAACACUGGGAUUCAGGACUGCCUCCUGUGCGAUGCAGGUUAUUUCUGCAAUGGGACUGGACUUGUGUCUCCCACUGGGGUGUGUGAGGCUGGGUUCUACUGCAGUGGAGGAAGCCUUUCCCCCAGACCUCCCAGGCCAACUGCCAGUGGAGGUCCCUGUCCCCCUGGGCAUUUCUGUGAGGAGGGGAGCAGCAGAGCGCAGCCGUGCCCUGCAGGGACCUACAGCCCAUCCUGGAGUGGGACACGGUGCCUGCAGUGCCCAGAGGGCUUUUACUGCACCUCUGCCUCCACCAACUACACGGAUUGUCCUCAAGGUGGGUCUGGCUGCACCCACCAGGGCACCCUGCUGCUCCCCAGCUGCCUUUGACACUCCUGGACCUGCCAGAGCAGUGACAAAUUGCAGGAUGGGCCCACACUCAUGGCUUGGGGUCAGUCCUUCUGAUGCCUUAGGAUUUCAGGUUUUCUGUUUCUCACACAUCUGUACUCCUGCCAUUCCUCAGUGUGUGACUCCAAACUCCACACACACUGGGAGCUGCUGCUUCCCCACUUUGGGCACACACAACAAUUCUUCUCCAGGCCUGGCAAUCAAGGACACCUCACUGCCUCAGGCCCCAGAGAUGGAAACAAAAGGGAGUUGGGGGCAGCAAACUUGGGGGAAAUUCCUUCAUUCCCUGCAGCUGGAAUUGGGAGAUGAACCCCAAAUGUGCAAAUGGACCAAAAUCAUAAAAAUGUCAAAACCCGUGAGCCAUUUUUGGGUGCAGCCCCUGGGGGGCUUUGUCUGCCCUAAAUGCACCUGA
rnacentral:lncRNA from 1 species